UUGAAGACGACGAGGUAGAUAGGACAGAGGUGGAAGUGUGGUAACACAUGGAGCUGACUGUUACUAAUAGGUCGAGGGCAUAACCAAG
rnacentral:rRNA from 1 species